UUCGAAUCAACCAUAGCAAAAUAACCUACCCCCCAAUUGAUACACCAGAAAACCAGUUCACACACCAGAGGCAAACAUCUCUUAAACGGCAACUUAAACGUCGUUUGUGAUCUACCAAUGAGAAAAGGCCAAGUUUCGAACGAUCAAAGCGUAGUAAACACGCUGACAACUUCGACGCGGUUUUGCCGUUAAUAGCCUCCCUUUUCAGUUUUUCUUCUUUGAUUUCCAUAUAUGGCUUCUUCUUCCCAGAUUUCUCUUUCAUUUCGUUCCUCACAAAGCUCUCCCUUUCAAGCAAAGCGCACACACACACAGACAGAGAAGGACUAAAGAGAGAGAGAGAGGGUUUUGUGAAGGAUAUUGUAGCUGAUAAUGGUAACACCCACAGACAGUACUUCCACCCAGACUAUUUUGGCCAACUUCUUAGAAACAGGAAGUCAGGAACUUUGAUGUUGCCAAGGCCCACUAUAUAAUUUGUUCAGUCGAAAGGUUAAAGAAUCGUAUACUUGUGCUCCAUUCUACCUAACUUACAAACAAUAACACAAAACAUUAGAUUACAAUGGCACAUUUGAAAGUACUAAACCCGAAUGCAAAAACAUGACUUUAUGAUGCAGGAUAGGAAGAUGCUAUUCCUAAUACAAUUUACGAAUCAUAUUCUAUGUAAAAUUUGGGAAAUUGAAGAGUUUUAUUCUUUACGAAUUUUAUUCUUAUUAGGUCUAUCAUCUAG
rnacentral:misc_RNA from 1 species